rnacentral:rRNA from 1 species
AUUGAACGCUGGCGGCAGGCCUAACACAUGCAAGUCGAACGGUAACAGGAAGAAGCUUGCUUCUUUGCUGACGAGUGGCGGACGGGUGAGUAAUGUCUGGGAAACUGCCUGAUGGAGGGGGAUAACUACUGGAAACGGUAGCUAAUACCGCAUAACGUCGCAAGAACAAAGAGGGGGACCUUCGGGCCUCUUGCCAUCGGAUGUGCCCAGAUGGGAUUAGCUAGUAGGUGGGGUAACGGCUCACCUAGGCGACGAUCCCUAGCUGGUCUGAGAGGAUGACCAGCCACACUGGAACUGAGACACGGUCCAGACUCCUACGGGAGGCAGCAGUGGGGAAUAUUGCACAAUGGGCGCAAGCCUGAUGCAGCCAUGCCGCGUGUAUGAAGAAGGCCUUCGGGUUGUAAAGUACUUUCAGCGGGGAGGAAGGGAGUAAAGUUAAUACCUUUACUCAUUGACGUUACCCGCAGAAGAAGCACCGGCUAACUCCGUG